rnacentral:misc_RNA from 1 species
UUUCCGUAGGUGAACCUGCGGAAGGAUCAUUAUUGUAUAAGCGAGGUGCGAGGGCUGUCGCUGACCCGAAAGGUCGUGCACGCCCGAGUGCCCUCACACACAUCCAUCUCACCCCUAUGUGCACCACCGCGUGGGUCCCCCUUUGGCUUGUUCGGAGGGGGGCUUACGUUUUCACACAAACUUUGUAUGCAGUGUAGAAUGUAUUUUUUGUUUUUGCGAUCACGCAAUCAAUACAACUUUCAACAACGGAUCUCUUGGCUCUC